rnacentral:tRNA from 1 species
GUGGAUGUAGUUCAAAGGUAGAGCACAAGAUUGUGGAUCUUGUUGUUGCGGGUUCGAGCCCCGUCAUCCACC